UACGAAGGGGGCUAGCGUUGUUCGGAUUUACUGGGCGUAAAGCGCACGUAGGCGGAUUGUUAAGUCGGGGGUGAAAUCCUGGAGCUCAACUUCAGAAUUGCCUUCGAUACUGGCUUUCUAGAGGCUGGAAGAGGUUAGUGGAAUUCCCAGUGUAGAGGUGAAAUUCGUAGAUAUUGGGAAGAACACCAGUGGCGAAGGCGGCUACCUGGACCGGAACUGACGCUGAUGCGCGAAAGCGUGGGUAGCAAACAGG
rnacentral:rRNA from 1 species